UACGUAGGGUGCAAGCGUUAUCCGGAAUUACUGGGCGUAAAGGGCUCGUAGGCGGCCAACUAAGUCGGACGUGAAAUCCCCAGGCUCAACCUGGGAACUGCGUCCGAUACUGGAUGGCUUGAAUUCGGGAGAGGGAUGCAGAAUUCCAGGUGUAGCGGUGAAAUGCGUAGAUAUCUGGAGGAAUACCGGUGGCGAAGGCGGCAUCCUGGACCGACAUUGACGCUGAGGAGCGAAAGCUAGGGGAGCAAACAGG
rnacentral:rRNA from 1 species